rnacentral:rRNA from 1 species
UAACACGUAGGGAGCAAGCGUUGUCCGGAUUUAUUGGGCGUAAAGAGCUCGUAGGCGGUUCGGUAAGUCGGGUGUGAAAACUUGAGGCUCAACCUCGAGACGCCACUUGAUACUGCUGUGACUGGAGUUCGGUAGAGGAGUGUGGGAUUCCUAGUGUAGCGGUGAAAUGCGCAGAUAUUAGGAGGAACACCAACGGCGAGGGCAGCACUCUGGGCCGAUACUGACGCUGAGGAGCGAAAGCGUGGGGAGCGAACAGGAUUAGAUACCCUGGUAGUCCACGCCGUAAACGUUGGGCACUAGAUGUGGGAUCCAGUCAACGGAUUCCGUGUCGCAGCUAACGCAUUAAGUGCCCCGCCUGGGGAGUACGGCCGCAAGGCUA